rnacentral:rRNA from 1 species
UACGGAGGGUGCAAGCGUUAUCCGGAUUUACUGGGUUUAAAGGGUGCGCAGGCGGAUAUGUAAGUCAGUGGUGAAAUCUCUAGGCUUAACCUGGAAAUUGCCGUUGAUACUAUAUACCUUGAAUGCUGUGGAGGUAAGCGGAAUAUGUCAUGUAGCGGUGAAAUGCUUAGAUAUGACAUAGAACACCUAUUGCGAAGGCAGCUUACUACGCAGAUAUUGACGCUCAUGCACGAAAGCGUGGGGAUCAAACAGG